rnacentral:lncRNA from 1 species
AAGAAAGCUAAAACCUGUUACUUCCCCAUCUUUGAAAAGGUAAGCUGUAGGAACCCAGAGCUUUUAUUUCUCCUGUCACAAAGAAUACUUAAGAGUCAGUAUGUGAAAAGCCAAGAGGAUCAAAACUUUAGUGAGGAUUCCAGAACAAACAACAGGUGAAAUUAUAGAGCCCCCAACAAAACAGAAUUGGAAUAAGGCAAGUGCAAUUUCUUUUCUGAUUUUUAAAAAUAAGCCAUCAGCCCAAAGAGUCACCACUUGAAUUUGCUGUCAAGGUGCAUUUUUAGGCCUAGUAGCGGACAGUAAUUGUGCCUCAAUCAAAAGACAAAAAUCUGUUAAACUUAAAACUUGUCUGAAGCCAUUCUGUCAUGAAUACCAGUGAUGAGUGUGCAGCUGGUAAAGGUCCAAACCUCCAGGGCAGCCUGGGGAACAAGAAAAACUUGACAGUGUAGCUUCCAUUGUUAUGCCAAAUUCAUGGGACCCUAAUAGACCUCCAGGAGCCGAAUCCGAUGAAAUCACACAAUAGUCUUUUUUUUUUUUAAAUUUUUUAUUGUUGGUUGUUCAAAACAUUACAUAGUUCUUGAUAUAUCAUAUUUCACACUUUGAUUCAAGUGGGUUAUGAGCUCCCAUUUUUACCCCAUAUACAGAUUGCAGAAUCACAUCAGUUACACAUCCAUUGAUUUAAUUUUUUAAAAAAAUUUUUUAUUGUUGGCUGUUCAAAACAUUACAUAGUUCUUGAUAUAUCAUAUUUCACACUUUGAUUCAAGUGGGUUAUGAGCUCCCAUUUUUACCCCAUAUACAGAUUGCAGAAUCACAUCAGUUACACAUCCAUUGAUUUACAUAUUGCCAUACUAGUGUCUGUUGUGUUCUGCUGCCUUUCCUAUCCUCUACUAUCCCCCCUCCCCUCCCCUCCCCUCCCCUCUUCUCUCUCUGCCCCCUCUACUGACAUUCAUUUGUCCCCCUUGUAUUAUUUUUCCCUUUCCCCUCACUUCCUCUUGUAAAAAAAAAGCUUUUAAGAAUAAUAUUUUAGAGAAGGAAGAAACAGUAAAAUGUUCAUAUAUUAGGUAAAACUGGGCAGGGAAACGAUAGGAGGAAUAGAGAGGAAAGGCAGAAACAGACUAAAAAUUCAAGUGGUUAGCUCGUCUAGCAUGCGUGAGACACUGGGUUCGAUCCUCAGCACUACAUAAAUAUAAAAUAAAGAUAUUAAAAAAAUUCAAGUGGUUAGAAGCAUGAUAGUUCAAACACAUCUGAGAGCUGUUAGAAAUAUUCCAGAGUGUAUAUAGGGAUAGUGAUUCAUCUUCUUGUUAUCUGAAGCUGAUGCCCAGAAAAUGGUUGACUCUGAUAAUUUUCCUGUGAAGCUUAGGAAGUCUGACCCUACUCUGCGCAGUGUACUACUCUGUCCUAUUGACAGCAGGACAGAAAUAACCUCAUUCCCCUUCCCUUCCCCAACAGGCAUAUGUUGGGAAGUGGGGAUAAAAUUAAAUAAAUACUUUUAGCAUUUAAAACUUAUCAUUUGACUUUUCUGUACCUCUGGCUUGAACCUAGAGGAUUACUUCACUUUCUUCAAAACACAUAAUUUGAGGAAUAUGGAAUAAUUUAGAGAGAGUAUACUUCUUACAAUAAAACUAUUUCUCAAGAAGUCAUACGUCAGUAUCUUCUAGGAUAUGAGAUGUAUCUUCUAGGAUAUGAGUGGAGAUGAAUAUCCACAUUCAUCCUGGUUACAACAUGCUGAGGAAACAAGAAUAGUCGAGAGCCCAACAGAACAUCACUAACUCCAUCUGUAAUCCACUUCUAGGACUACUGUUACCUACCAAUAAAGAGGUGAGUUUAUGAUCUUUUCUCAUAGACAGAGAAAGUGAACCAGGAAGCAAAAAUUGUUUCUCCAGCUAAAACCCAACUGUGCUAUGGGUUCACUUGAAUCUGUUUACAUUUUUUGAUAUCAAUAUAGGGAAGGGGGAAUAGCUCAGCAGCAGAGUGAUUGCUUAGCCUGUGCAAGGCCAUGGGUUCAUUCUCAACACAGAAAAGAUAAAUUAAAUAAUAAAAUAAAAUGGAAAUCAAUAUAGUUGAGAAUAUAUGAAGGUCUUCAGUGAAAACUCUUAAGAGACAAAUGCUCAUUAUCCAUUGGCAGAUAUGAGGUGCUAAACCCAAUAACUCCACCAUAAAAAGGCAGAAAUGUGCUUAGAAGUACAUUGGGAAAUUUAUUUAUUUUAUAUAUAUAAAUAUUUAUAAAUGUCUUUAUAUUUAAAAUCUAUAAAUUUAUUUACUUAUAAAGAAUCUUCACAGCUAACAUUUCAAGUUAACAACUUAAAAACAGUCUGUUUAUGCCUGAGUCUUGUAUCUUCCUGUUCCAAUUUAUGUUUCUGAGAACAUUUUAGAUUUCCAAUAUUUUCGGUCAGUUUAUUUUUACAGGAAAUUCUGUUACACCUGCAUCUGCCUUCAUGAAAUCAAAUUCUAGUCAUGAUGGGGGGAGGGAACAAAAUUAUGCAAGAAAAGAUGAUGUAAUAGCAUAGAACAUUUCUGGAAUAUUCAGGUGUUUUUAUUGUGACAUCAUCUGUGGGGAGAGAAAUCUCAGCUCUGGAGCGGCAGUUGGCAUCUUACUCAGUCUGAGCACAGGUCACUGGUCUAGGAUUUCACCCAGGAGAAAACAAACAUCUCUGCAUUAUAGUAGCUAUGUUAUGAAUUCUAUGAAAGAAAUUUGUGAUGACAUUUCUAGAUGUUCACAAAGAUUUCCUAGUUACACAGAACUGGUCUAAAAGGACCAAAGAAUUUAUUAUUGGUAAACAUAUAAAAAUGGACACAAGUCAGCAUUAUCCUAUCUGGACACAUACUGUGAAGGAUUCUGAACCUCUACCCUGGACCACAAUGUAACUGUGUCAAUACAGGUACAUUGAGAUUUGGUAUGGCAUUCCACAGGCUCUGUUAACAUCCUCACAUAUGGGGUCCGCUUCAUCACAUCUGAGGUCUGCUUCAUUCAGGAGUUUCUUCUCAUCUGAGAAUGUGAAAAAAAAACAGAGAUAGCAAAUUUAGGGUCUGGUUAUAGUUAUGACCCAGAGACAAAAUAAAGCUCUCUAGAGUCAUCAGAAUCAAGGGCAAGGUAAAAGCACAGCAACCUAGGGAUACAGAUUGAGAUAAUUUCUACCAAACUUUAGAUGCAUAGGACAAUACCAACUAUUGAUCAAGAAGUCUGUAAAGAGCUGUUUCUCAGUCUGCACAAUUAAGGAAAUGGAAUCAGAGAAAGGAAUUGUGAACAACAUAGUUUUCCCCUGACAAAAUCUUAAGGAAAUUGAUUGCAGGAAGGUUAGCUCCAUUACUGUCUCUUCCUUAAGGGCACAAAGUGACAAAAUCUUGGCUUCCCAAAUGCCCACAGGAAUAAUUCUAGCUUUUCCUGAAAGUUCUCAAAUGGAUACUGCUGCUAUGAUUUUUAUCUUCACAAGGGACAACACCACCUUAACAUAGGCUGUGGUUUAUUGGUCUUCCAGCUCUGAAAUUCUGUGGAUCAGGUGUGGCUUCAUGGGCACUGUGACCUAAGCAAUUGUACAAUGCCCCCUGCUUAGAAGGUCUGGUACUGGGGGAACUGUUCCAGAUCCGCUUCAAAGUUUUAAUAAUUUUUGAACAUUUUCAUUUUGCAUCAAGCUUUGAAAAUUAUGUAACCCGUACUUCUAUGAGUCUUAAAGAACUUUGGAGUAAUUCCCUUGCCCCAAACCUGCCCCGCUGCAAAGAAUACACACUUACCAAGGUAAUCUUAAUAUAUUAAUAACUAUAUAGUACCAUAAUACUUUGUAAGUGAUUUGUAUUUUUAAUGGUAUUUCUCACUUUGGUUUUUACAUUCUGAAUUGGCCCCAAAAUAUCAUAAUCCAUGAGAUGGCUGUAACUGGGUGGGAAGAUAUGAUUUCAGUAUCAAAAAAAUGCAUAGGUGGAUGUAACUCAAUCUCGAAUUUCUUCCUAUUCUCCCCAAAGGUGUCAAGAAAUAACACAUAUGACUUGGGAAGGUGAUCCUGUUAAAUUAAGAAUCAUGAACCCACCCCUAUCUUGCCUUUGCUGGGAGGAUUGGCAAUUAAUGGCUCAACCUCAUCAUCCCAGGAAAUAAGUCUAGGCUCCUGGAUACUGAACUGCUUUUUACCUGUGUAGGAGGAACUGUCCUCUUGGGUACACUGAGGCCCAGGACAUAAUUAAAACACAGAGCUGCCAGUUGAAAAACUAAGAAUUUCAUGAUGAUGACAGGUGAUCUAGAAACCAAGCACUAUGGCAUGCUGUCACUAGAUCACAUUUCUCUGAAAGUGGCCCUGGGUGUAUCCAUCUCAUCCAUUUCACAUAUAAAGCUCAGAAGAAUUGAAGGUCUUUCAUUUUUGUAAUUAUAUUUCCUAGUUUUUUUGAUCUGUCCUCUGAGAGGAGAAAAGGGUCCCUGGUAGAAAGCAUGGAAAUGGGGUGGAACAUUUGGAUCUAAAAGUGAUUUCUGUGUGACUCUGAGAAGUCCCAUUACCCACUUUCAGUGACUUCAUGUGUGCCAAACUAUUUGGCUAUGCAAGCCCAGUGAUCCCUUCAAGUACUGAUAAUCUCAAAGUCUGAAAUUAAAGAUACUCUAAAUUAUUGGUAGAUAUGCCAACUUCAAAAUUUUAAACAAAAUGUUCACCAAAUCCUUGUAUCUUUUAAAAAAUGAUAUUCAAAAAAUUCUCCCACUCUAAAAUUUUGUGACAGUUUUUUUUUUUGUCAAACCAGAUGUUUUUAUUUGGGAAUACAGACACAUUAUCUCCACAAGAGCAUAUAUCUGAAACUAUUUGAGCAGUUAAGGAUAUGAAGAGCCCAGACUAUUUCUUCUUCUCUGGAGUCAAAAGGCAGGCACAGAUCUCUAUGUCUGUCUGUCUGUCUGUCUGUCUGUCUGUCUGUCUGUCUCUCUCUCUCUCUCUCUCUCUCUCUCUCUCUCUGUCUGUCUCUCAUACACAUUUAGAGUUUAAACCAACUGGAGAAAUGCCCAUUCAUUACUUGAAGAAUGGUCACCCAGGAGGCAGACUCUCCCUCUCAGAACAUGGAGGUUGCAACUUCCCAAAGCUCUAUUCCUUUCAGUGUCUCUUUUACAUUUAGCCAUAUCCUAUCUCUUUUCUUAUUCCCAAGAGUGGAUUUGCCCACAUUGCAUAGGACAUUUCCACAAAUAACAAUCUCCACACUCCCAUUGCCAGUGACAGCUUGGCCACUGCAUCAUAAGACAGUAACAAACAUUCCAGGAUAGACAUAAGCAGAGAAGCUCACACAUGUGGAAAUGAGACAGAUUUUCAGAACAAAAACUCAGCCUUGAAAUAUUUUCUUUCCAAAGAGAAGACUCAAUGUCCAUAGAAAGAUCUAUGGUAUCUUGAGACUAGAAAGUCACUUCUGAAGUGGGAUUUAGGAAUGCCAUGUGCAGAUACUGGGCACACAGAUCCUGUGAAUCACCCCAGAUGAUGACUGUCAAGAGAAAGCAAGCUAGGGAGGGCAAGGAAUAUCCACCUGACUGCCAGCUCUUUCUCCUCCCUGGUCUCAUGGUCAUAAUGGAUGACCUCACAUAAUGCCGCACACAGAAAAUAUUCAUAUGGAAUCAAAAUUGAGACCAAGUCACUUUCUGAAACACCUUCAUAUAGAUCACAUGAGGACUGUGGGGUUGCUCUCAGAGCAUCAGAGGCCACUCUAUUUUUAUGGUUUAUGUGCAUACUGAAAAUUCCUGGCCAAGUCCAAACCUAUUCCAGUCCUAACCUAGUUUCUGUUCUCAGCUGCCUACUGUCAUCAUACAUGACACCAUCUUUCCUUGGCACUUCUAAUCCAAAGUCACUGAGGCAUGGAGUUCAGAGAAAAACAAGCAUCAUUUCCCAGAAAAUGUAGUAAGGAUAGGAUGCAGAUUCAGUAGGCUCAUCAUAGUGGACCUCUUCUUACCCAUGGUCUACUGCUCUCCUUAUCUCAAACUCUUGGUGUUCUUCAGUGCCUACCUUGAUAAUUUUUCUUUCUGAACUGAUGAAUCAGCAGGAAAAUGAAAAAAAGGAAGAGGAAAGGUCCCAGGAUACAACCAUAUACAAUUGAUAUAAAGACGAUCCCAGGGAUAGGAUUUGUGUGGAUCAUUUGCAAAACCAUAUUUUGACAAUGGGAAGAACAUGGAGAAUCUAGCCCCUUGCUGUUACCUGUUGGUGCUCAAGCUGGUGAGGUCACAGCUUCAGGCACAAUGGGAGAUUGUGAGAACCCUGAGGGAACUGGAUCUCAGUUCCAUCUCAUGCUGUCCUAGGUGUUAAAUAAGAGAAUGCUCAUGAAUACCUGGAGGCUUCAUAGUUGUCACAAAGUUGCAGGUUCAGAGGCACAAAUCCAGCACCUUCCCUCAUCUGAGCAGGGAAGGAGAAAGCUCAGAGUAAUGCAUGGUAAGUGAUCUGUCUCCCAAGCUGUUCUGUACUAAGUCAAUCCAAGGAAGGGAAAGUUUUUCUUUUUUUUUUUUUUAAUUUGUUAUUGUUGGUUGUUCAAAACAUUACAAAUUUCUUGACAUAUCAUAUUCCACACUUUGAUUCAAGUGGGUUAUGAACUCCCACCUUCACCCCAUACACAGAUUGCAGAAUCACAUCAGUUACACAUCCAUUGAUUUACAUAUUGCCAUACUAGUGUCUGUUGUGCUCCGCUGCCUUUCCCAUCCUCCACCCUCCCCCCUCCCACCUCUCCCCUCCCCUCCCACCUCUCCCCUCCCCUCCCCUCCUCUCUCUCUACCCCCUCCACUGUAUAACCCUGAGGGUCUCCUUCCAUUUCCAUGCAAUUUCCCUUCUCUCUCCCUUUCCCUCCCACCUCUCAUCCCUGUUUAAUGUUAAUCUUCUUCUCAUGCUCUUCGACCCUACUCUGUUCUUAGUUACUCUCCUUAUAUCAAAGAAGACAUUUGGCAUUUGUUUUUUAGGGAUUGGCUAGCUUCACUUAGCAUAAUCUGCUCUAAUGCCAUCCAUUUCCCUGUAAAUUCUAUGAUUUUGUCAUUUUUUAAUGCAGAGUAAUACUCCAUUGUGUAUAAAUGCCACAUUUUUUUUAUCCAUUCGUCUAUUGAAGGGCAUCUAGGUUGGUUCCACAGUCUUGCUAUUGUGAAUUGUGCUGCUAUGAACAUCGAUGUAGCAGUGUCCCUGUAGCAUGCUCUUUUUAGGUCUUUAGGGAAUAGACCAAGAAGGGGAAUAGCUGGGUCAAAUGGUGGCUCCAUUCCCAGCUUUCCAAGAAAUCUCCAUACUGCUUUCCAAAUUGGCUGCACCAAUUUGCAGUCCCACCAGCAAUGUACAAGUGUACCCUUUUCCCCACAUCCUCGCCAGCACUUGUUGUUGUUUGACUUCAUAAUGGCUGCCAAUCUAACUGGAGUGAGAUGGUAUCUUAGGGUGGUUUUGAUUUGCAUUUCUCUGACUGCUAGAGAUGGUGAGCAUUUUUUCAUGUACUUGUUGAUUGAUUGUAUGUCCUCCUCUGAGAAGUGUCUGUUCAGGUCCUUGGCCCAUUUGUUGAUUGGGUUGUUUGUUCUCUUAUUGUCUAAUUUUUUGAGUUCUUUGUAUACUCUGGAUAUUAGGGCUCUAUCUGAAGUGUGAGGAGUAAAGAUUUGUUCCCAGGAUGUAGGCUCUCUAUUUACCUCUCUUAUUGUAUCUUUUGCUGAGAAAAAACUUUUUAGUUUGAGUAAGUCCCAUUUGUUGAUUCUAGUUAUUAACUUUUGUGCUAUGGGUGUCCUAUUGAGGAAUUUGGAGCCCGACCCCACAGUAUGUAGAUCGUAGCCAACUUUUUCUUCUAUCAGACGGCGUGUCUCUGAUUUGAUAUCAAGCUCCUUGAUCCAUUUUGAAUUAACUUUUGUGCAUGGCGAGAGAAAGGGAUUCAGUUUCAUUUUGUUGCAUAUGGAUUUCCAGUUUUCCCAGCACCAUUUGUUGAAGAUGCUAUCCUUCCUCCAUUGCAUGCUUUUAGCCCCUUUAUCAAAUAUAAGGUAGUUGUAGUUUUGUGGAUUGGUUUCUGUGUCCUCUAUUCUGUACCAUUGGUCCACCCGCCUGUUUUGGUACCAGUACCAUGCUGUUUUUGUUACUAUUGCUCUGUAGUAUAGUUUGAAGUCUGGUAUCGCUAUACCGCCUGAUUCACACUUCCUGCUUAGCAUUGUUUUUGCUAUUCUGGGUCUUUUGUUUUUCCAUAUGAAUUUCAUGAUUGCUUUCUCUAUUUCUACAAGAAAUGCCGUUGGGAUUUUGAUUGGCAUUGCAUUAAACCUAUAGAGAACUUUUGGUAAUAUCGCCAUUUUGAUGAUGUUAGUUCUGCCUAUCCAUGAACAGGGUAUAUUUUUCCAUCUUCUAAGAUCUUCUUCUAUUUCUCUCUUUAGGGUUCUGUAGUUUUCAUUGUAUAAGUCUUUCACCUCUUUUGUUAGGUUGAUUCCCAAGUAUUUUAUUUUUUUUGAAGAUAUUGUGAAUGGAGUGGUUGUCCUCAUUUCCAUUUCAGAGGAUUUGUCGCUGAUAUACAGGAAUGCCUUUGAUUUAUGCGUGUUGAUUUUAUAUCCUGCCACUUUGCUGAAUUCAUUUAUUAGCUCUAAUAGUUUCUUUGUAGACCCUUUUGGGUCUGCUAGGUAUAGAAUCAUGUCAUCUGCAAAUAGUGAUAAUUUAAGUUCUUCUUUUCCUAUUUUGAUGCCUUUAAUUUCUUUCGUCUGUCUAAUUGCUCUGGCCAGUGUUUCGAGAACUAUGUUGAACAGAAGUGGUGAGAGAGGGCAUCCCUGUCUUGUUCCAGAUUUUAGAGGGAAUGCCUUCAAUUUUUCUCCAUUCAGAAUGAUGCUAGCCUGAGGCUUAGCAUAGAUUGCUUUUACAAUAUUGAGGUAUGUUCCUGUUAUCCCUAGUUUUUCUAGAGUUUUGAACAUAAAGGGAUGCUGUACUUUGUCGAAUGCUUUUUCCGCAUCUAUCGAGAUGAUCAUAUGGUUCUUAUUUUUAAGUCUAUUGAUGUGGUGAAUAACAUUUAUUGAUUUCCGUAUAUUGAACCAGCCUUGCAUCCCAGGGAUGAAUCCUACUUGAUCAUGGUGCACAAUUUUUUUGAUAUGUUUUUGUAUCCGAGUCGCCAGAAUUUUAUUGAGGAUUUUUGCAUCUAGGUUCAUUAGAGAUAUUGGUCUGUAGUUUUCUUUCUUUGAAGUGUCUUUGUCUGGUUUAGGUAUCAGGGUGAUGUUGGCCUCGUAGAAUGAAUUUGGAAGUUCUCCCUCUUUUUCUAUUUCCUGAAGUAGCUUGAAAAGUAUUGGUAUUAGUUCCUCUUUAAAGGUUUUGUAAAACUCUGCUGUAUACCCAUCCGGUCCUGGGCUUUUCUUAGUUGGUAGUCUUUUGAUGGUUUCUUCUAUUUCCUCAAUUGAUAUUGGUCUGUUUAGGUUGUCUAUAUCCUCCUGACUCAAUCUGGGCAGAUCAUAUGACUUAAGAAAUUUAUCGAUGCCUUCACUAUCUUCUAAUUUAUUGGAGUAUAAGGAUUCAAAAUAAUUUUUGAUUAUCUUCUGUAUAUCUGAAGUGUCUGUUGUGAUAUUGCCUUUUUCAUCCCGUAUGCUAGUAAUUUGAGUUCUCUCUCUUCUUCUCUUCGCUAGCAUGGCUAAGGGUCUGUCGAUUUUGUUUAUUUUUUCAAAGAACCAACUUUUAGUUUUGUCAAUUUUUUCAAUUGUUUCUUUUGUUUCGAUUUCAUUAAUUUCAGCUCUGAUUUUAAUUAUUUCUUGCCUUCUACUUCUUUUGCUGUUGUUUUGCUCUUCUUUUUCUAGGAUUUUGAGAUGAAGUAUGAGAUCAUUUAUUUGUUGGUUUUUUCUUUUUUUAAGGAAUGAACUCCAAGCAAUGAAUUUUCCUCUUAGAACUGCUUUCAAUGUGUCCCAUAGAUUCCGAUAUGUUGUGUCUGUGUUUUCAUUAAUCUCUAAGAAUUUUUUAAUUUCUUCCUUGAUGUCUUCUAUAACCCAUUGAUCAUUCAGUAACCUAUUGUUCAUUCUCCAAGUGAUGUAUUCUUUUCCCUUCCUUCUUUUAUCGUUGAUUUUCAGUUCCAUUCCAUUAUGAUCAGAUAGGAUGCAUGGUAUUAUCUCUACUCCUUUAUAUUGUCUAAGAGUUUCCCUGUGACAUAAUAUAUGAUCUAUUUUUGAGAAGGAUCCAUGUGCUGCUGAGAAAAAAGUGUAACUGCUUGAUGUUGGGUGGUAUAUUCUAUAUAUGUCAAUUAAGUCUAGGUUAUUAAUUGUGUUAUUGAGUUCUAUAGUUUCCUUAUUCAACUUUUGUUUGGAAGAUCUGUCCAGUGGUGAUAGAGGUGUGUUGAAGUCUCCCAUGAUUAUUGUAUGGUGGUCUAUUAGACUCUUGAACUUGAGAAGAGUUUGUUUGAUGAACAUAGCUGCACCAUUGUUUGGGGCAUAUANCAGCCAAUAUGUUGUGUCUGUGUUUUCAUUAAUCUCUAAGAAUUUUUUAAUUUCCUCCUUGAUGUCUUCUAUAACCCAUUGAUCAUUCAGUAACCUAUUGUUCAUUCUCCAAGUGAUGUAUUCUUUUUCCUUCCUUCUUUUAUCGUUGAUUUUCAGUUCCAUUCCAUUAUGAUCAGAUAGGAUGCAUGGUAUUAUCUCUACUCCUUUAUAUUGUCUAAGAGUUUCCCUGUGACAUAAUAUAUGAUCUAUUUUUGAGAAGGAUCCAUGUGCUGCUGAGAAAAAAGUGUAACUGCUUGAUGUUGGGUGGUAUAUUCUAUAUAUGUCAAUUAAGUCUAGGUUAUUAAUUGUGUUAUUGAGUUCUAUAGUUUCCUUAUUCAACUUUUGUUUGGAAGAUCUGUCCAGUGGUGAUAGAGGUGUGUUGAAGUCUCCCAUGAUUAUUGUAUGGUGGUCUAUUAGACUCUUGAACUUGAGAAGAGUUUGUUUGAUGAACAUAGCUGCACCAUUGUUUGGGGCAUAUAUAUUUAUGAUUGUUAUGUCUUGUUGGUGUAUGGUUCCCUUGAGCAGUAUGUAGUGUCCCUCUUUAUCCCUUUUGAUUAACUUUGGCUUGAAAUCUAUUUUAUUUGAUAUGAGUAUGGAUACUCCUGCUUGUUUCCGAAGUCCAUAUGAGUGAUAUGAUUUUUCCCAACCUUUCACCUUCAGCCUAUGUAUGUCUUUUCCUAUCAAAUGCGUCUCCUGUAGGCAGCAUAUUGUUGGGUCUUGUUUUGUGAUCCAUUCUACUAGCCUGUGUCUCUUGAUUGGUGAGUUUAAGCCAUUAACAUUUAGGGUUAUUAUUGAGAUAUGGGUUGUUCUUCCAGCCAUAUUUGUUUAUUUCUGUUACUAAACAUGGUUUGUUUUCCUCUUUGAUUAUUUUCCCCCUUUACUGUCCUACCUCCCACUGUUGGUUUUCAUUGUUAUUUUCCAUUUCCUCUUCCUGUAAUGUUUUGCCAAGGAUGUUUUGAAGAGAUGGUUUUCUAGCUGCAAAUUCUUUUAACUUUUGUUUAUCGUGGAAGGUUUUAAUUUCAUCUUCCAUCCUGAAGCUUAAUUUCGCUGGAAACACAAUUCUUGGUUGGAACCCAUUUUCUUUCAGUGUUUGAAAUAUGUUAUUCCAGGAUCUUCUAGCUUUCAGAGUCUGUGUUGAAAGAUCAGCUGUUAUCCUGAUUGGCUUACCCCUAAAUGUGAUCUGCUUCCUUUCUCUUGUAGCUUUUAAAAUUCUCUCCUUAUUCUGUAUGUUGGGCAUCUUCAUUAUAAUGUGUCUAGGUGUGGGUCUCUUAUGAUUUUGCACAUUCGGCGUCCUGUAGGCUUCUAGGAUUUGGGGUUCUGUCUCAUUCUUCAAGUCUGGGAAGUUUUCUCGUAUUAUUUCAUUGAAUAGAUUGCUCAUUCCUUUGGUUUGAAACUCUGUCCCUUCCUGUAUCCCAAUGACUCUUAAAUUUGGUCUCUUGAUGUUAUCCCAUAUUUCUUGGAUGUUCUGCUCUUGGUUUCUUAACAGUCUUGCGGAGCUGUCUAUGUUCUUUUCAAGUUGAAAUACUUUAUCUUCAUUGUCUGAUGUUCUAUCUUCUAAGUGUUCUACUCUGCUGGUAGUAUUCUCAAUUGAGUUUUUAAGUUGGCUUAUUGCUUCCUGCAUUUCUAGGAUUUCUGUUUGUUUGUUUUUUAUAACCUCUAUCUCCCUGUAUAGUUGAUCUUUUGCUUCUUGGAUUUGUUUAUGUAAUUCAUUGUUGAAGUGAUCUUUCAUUGUCUGAUUUUGCUGUCUGAUGUCUUCCUUGAGACUCCAGAUCAUCUGAAGCAUGUAUAUCCUGAAUUCUUUAUCUGACAUUCCAUCUGCUGCAGCUAUUACCUCUUCUAACGUUGAGUUGACCUGCAAUGCUUGUGGUCCUUUCUUUCCUUGUCUCUUCAUACUGUUCGCGUUCCUUUCUACUUGGUGAAACUGUUGUGCUAUUGAAUUUUCCCCCUAUAUAUUUAUAUUGGUCUUGUAUAGUUGCAAAGUCUCCCUCGCAGGCGCGGGCGGCGGCUCUGUCCCUCUGCGGGCCGCUAGGCUUGUUCUGUCGGUGGUCGCAGUUCUGCCUACUUUGCAGGCGCAGGCAGCGGCACUGCCCCUCUGCAGGCCUCUCGGGCUGUUCUGCCAGUAGGUCGCAGGUCCGCCUACCUUGCAGGCACGGGGGGGGGGGCGGAUCUACCCUUCCUCAGGCCACUGGGCCUGUUCUGUCUGUCGGUUGCAGGUCUGGCCUGUUCUGAUGGUGGUCACAGUUCCGUCUACCUUGCAGGCGCGGGGGGGAGGGGGCGGCUCUGCCUCUCAGCAGGCCGUUGGUCCUCUUCUGCCGGUGGGUCGCAGGCCCGCCUACCUUGCAGGAGUGAUUGGAAGCUCUGUCCCGCCGCGGGCCACUGGACCUUUUCUGUCGGUGGUCACAGUUCCGCCUACCUGGCAGGUGCGGGGGGUGGGGGGCGGCUCUGCCCCUCAGCAGGCCGCUGGGCUUGCUCUGUGGGUGGUCACAGUUCUGUCUACCUUGCUGGCGCAGGGGGAGGGGGCUCUAGAUUUGCUUUUAUAUAUCUGCUUGAUGUUUCAUUUCAGACUGAAGACUCUUCUCCCCACACACUUUUUCAUUCUGGAUAAUUCUAUACUGCUUGAAUUCCUUCUGUUCUCUUUGUUCUGUCUUUCUGCACUCUUAUUAGAUACAUGUUGAAAUUUCAUUUUAAUGUUCUGUGUCUCGUAACUUUUCUUUCAUAUCUCAGUCUCUUAUUUAUGUGGGUUUUCUCAUAUAUAUAUGCCAAAUUGCUGAUACUUUAAAAAAAUUUCUCAAGCUGGCACAGUGGCGCACCUUAGUGGCUUUGGAGGCUGAUGCAGGAGGCUUGCGAGUUCAAAGCCAGCCUCAGCAAAAGUGAGGUGCUAAGCAACUCAGUGAGACCCUUUCUCUAAAAAAUAUACAAAAUAGGGCUGGAGAUGUGGUUCAGUGUCUGAGGGGCCCUGAGUUCAACACCCCCCAAAAAUUCUCCAUUGAGUUUUUAUUAAUCAAUGUUUAUGUCUUUGAUUUCAAAAAUUUUUCUUCUACUUUUUCAAAUCCAUAUCUUUUUUUUUCUACAUGCCAUUCUUUUCAUUAUCUCUGAACAUUUAAGCAUUUUAAGCCCUUAUUCACUGUAAUUUUUGGCUCUAUGGCUCAAAGUUCCUUUUCAUGAGUGUUUUGCCUCUGUCUUGGAUGAGUUGAGUUUCCUUAUGUGUGAUGUUAAUUUAAGUUAAGCUUGUCUUCAGCAAAAAUUAUACCCCCCCCCAUAUAUUAUAAUACAAAUUUUGUCUUUGUUCUGGUUAAGAAACUCUAGAAGUCACUGAUUUUAUCCUUUUUUUCAUCAACAUUGCCAUUUAUUUUUUGUUCUUAUAUGUAUCACAGAAAGAGAUAAUGCCUGAAUUUAUCUUUGUUCCUUAUUUGUGGAGUAACCCAUAUUUUAUGCAUUGCCAUUCAAAGAUGCCCCAUAGAGAUUAUUUAUACUCAUUUUUCUAGUAAAAAAAUGAGCUUUUUUUGUGGCUGAGGUUUGGGCUGCUGCUAUCCCAUUGGUGACUUCUUUCCACCUGUGGUAGAGCAGUCAGGUGCUAGCUAUGUGGCUUUUGUGACUCCCUGUACUGGUGGGUAUAGUUUUACAUAACCACCUACCUCCAAGCUUGUAACAGGAGCCCAGCGUCGGCACUUCACCAUCUAAGGGACCUUGACAAUCACCGACCAAUUUCCAAAAGAUCGUGCUAAUUUUCAACUUGUAAAAGGGUGUUGGUUACAACCUAUUCUUGCCAGCAUUGAAGAUUAUCAGUAAAUCUGAUCAGUGUGAAGCUUUUAUGCUUUUUAAGGUGUUUAGCCAGGCAAAAUAGUCUUUCUAAUUCCAUUUGGUAAUCUUUUUCUUUCCUUUCUUUCUUUCUGUAGAUUCUGAAAGAUCAUGGAGAGGAUUUUCUCGUUGGCAACAAAUUCAGCUGGGCAGAUAUACAGCUGUUAGAAGCUAUUUUAAUGGUGGAAGAACUUGAUGCUCCUGUCCUCUCUGACUUCCCGCUGCUAAAGGUACUAUAUUAACAUCCCCAAGAAGCCCAGGAAAACAUGAGCAGAAACAAUGACAACAAAAUGUGUCUCCAGGUCAAUCUCAAUACUAUUUCAAAAUUAUUAUUUUAUUCAGUCUGGUAAUUUUCUCUUGCUUACUCUAUAGGGUCUGUUAGGAGAUAAAACCUUAUGAUGGGAAAAUAGAUGUUUUGAUUUCUGACAUGAAAAAUUAGUACUUUCUCCUUGUUUUCUUUUUAUGCGUUGAGCAUUUUUUUUCCUGAUGAGACAAGACUAACAAACUUUCCUCUCCACCUCCUACCAGACAGUCCUGCCCACUUUUAGUCCCCAUGAGCCUGAGCCCCCUACACAGUCCCUCCAUUGCUCAGAGUGAAGUGUGCAUGUGGCACUGCUGUCCCUAUCGCAUUGUCUGACCCUCAGACAGAAGCCUGUCACUGAGGCCCUGACCCAGACUCUGUGCGAUUCCUUAGAAACAUCUUGUCUCAUGGGUAAUUGUGGGUUUUAUAAUUUAAGAAUAGAAUUUUUUCUUAUUAUAAAAGAAAUGCAAGUUCAUGUAGCUAUGAUAGACAUUUGCCUUAAUCAAAAGAAGGGGGAAAAAAAAGAUUUAUAAUCCCUCCAGCCAAGUGUUACUGGCAUGAGGGCAUGAGACUUCCUGACAUAUUAUUUUUCUUAAUAUAGGAUUAUGCCAAAUAUCGUUUUGUGGCUUGCUUUUAAAAUUCUUUUCAAUUAUCAACAAAUUUUCUUCUGCAAUACUUUUACUUUCAGUGGGCAAUGGAAUAAUUUUUUUUUUGGAAGAAUGGAAGCUAUAUAAAAAGGACAUAAAUUGAGAAGUCUCAUUUUCACCACUGCCCUCCCAUUUUCCUGUCUUUGUAAUCAUUUUUACAGAAUUCUGCAUAUCCUUUCAGUGCUCCUAUUUAUGCAGAUAUCAGCAAAUAUGAAAAUAUAUUCUUGUUUUCAUCCUCCACUUUCGUAUACACUAUAUAAAGUACUAUAUAUUCUGUUCUGCUCCAGUUUUUUUUUUAACUAAAAAAUACAUUCCAGAGAUGUUCCCCAUCAACAAAGGGAACUUCUAUUUCUCUUUCUUGUUAUAUAAUAUCAUUUUAAAUUGCUGACUUAUAUUCCUUGUAGAAAUAUAAUUAUAUACAUAUCACAAUUUGUUUAUGUAACCAAUUCCCCUUCCUGAAUAUAGAUUAUUUUCUGUGUUAAAAUUCUGAUAACUAUUUUCCUUGCUCACAACCCUACUUAUUCUCGUAUAAUAAAUUCCUAGAACAAGAAUUGAUAGGUAAAAAGUAUGAAUAUGUUAUAGUUUUUGAUAUGCACUGCCUGAGUGUGAUAAUGUCUUUUUUUUUAAAGAGAGAGAGAGAACUUUUUUUUAAUAUUCAUUUUUCAGUUUUUGGCGGACACAACAUCUUUUUUUGUAUGUGGUGCUGAGGAUCGAACCCGGGCCACACGCAUGCCAGGCGAGCGCACUACCGCUUGAGCCACAUCCCCAGCCCUACAGUGUCUUUUCAUUAAGAUAACUCAUGCUCAGUACACUGGCAAUGGCAUCGCUCUCCCAGGAACAUCCAGAAAUGCAUUGAAGGAUUGACUGUUACAACAUACCAGGCUCUGCAUACUAAAGUCUAAGCACCGUCCUCUUGUGACAAAGUUCUGAUUUUUCUAAAAGGUCAUGAGAUCUAUGGAGGCCCUGAUUUUACUAUUUCUUUUUCAGGCAUUUAAAACAAGAAUCAGCAACAUUCCUACAAUUAAGAAGUUUCUACAGCAUGGGAGUCAGAGGAAGCCGCCUCCAGACAGCCACUAUGUUGAAGUUGUCAGGACGGUUCUUCAGUCCUAAUGGCAGCAGGUCUCGGGUGGCUUCAGAUCCACUUGCAGCAUCAGUGCAUGCCAGCUAUGG